rnacentral:rRNA from 1 species
UACGUAGGGUGCGAGCGUUGCCCGGAUUUAUUGGGCGUAAAGCGCUCGCAGGUGGUCCGAUGCGUCGUGCGUGAAAGACCCCGGCUCAACUGGGGGGCGUCGUGCGAUACGGUCGGACUGGAGGCCAGUAGGGGGAUGCGGAAUUCCGGGUGUAGUGGUGGAAUGCGUAGAGAUCCGGAGGAACACCAGCGGCGAAGGCGGCAUCCUGGACUGGUCCUGACACUCAUGAGCGAAAGCGUGGGGAGCGAUCCGG